rnacentral:misc_RNA from 1 species
GGUUGGUAUGGACCAAAGGGGUUGGGAGGCUGUUGACCCAUUGCUGCCAUCUGAACUGAGGAAGGAGCAAUGUUGUUUGACAUAGCAAAUGGAUCUUGUACCUCAAAUGGAUUUGGAGCAGCUGCCCCAUAAACAGGGCGCUGGGCGGCUCUAUAUGCUGCUUCGUCAUACAAGCUGUUCAAAGUGAGUGAGUCCAAUCCACCAGCCAACUGCUUCUCAUUAACUGAAGAGAUGUUAUUGCUUGGAGUGGUAACCAGGGCAAGUUCCCAUCCAGUAGGGUCAAAAUCUUUUGCUUGAACGGCACCAGAACUAAAUGUUGGUGCAGCACCCUGUUCAGUUGGAACUAUAGCCAGAGCCAAUGCAUUU